AGAGAGAGAGAGAGAGAGAGAGAGAGAGAGAGAGACACGAGGGAGGGAGAUGGAAAGGGAACAGUGUCUGUCGCUCUCUCUCUCUCUCUCUCUCUCUCUCUCU